UGAAAAAAAAAGAAACAAAAACACCGAACAAAAUAAUACAUAUGUACACCUAACAACUGAACAUGUCAAAGAUAAAUGUACAUAUAUGUAUGUCAAAAUAAACAGUUUGAGAAGGAACAGAAUGAAGCAAAGAGCUUAAUCAUGUCACUUCAUAACAAGGUAACUGUCUGUCUGCUUUGUUAUUUGACAUUAGGACUCGUCUCUAUUCCAGCAUCCAGCCCUCACUGUUGGACAGAGGCGCUAUCUUUGCAACCUUGCAAAUGUUUACAGCACUGAGCACAUGAGACAACAGAUGAAGCGGCACUAUCUCAAUGUGCUGCACACAUGCAUCCAACCUGGUGCGUAAUUAAAGCCUCAUACAUAAAGUUUAACCACUGCCAUCUGUUCUUAUACUGUGUUUUUAUCUCCUAGGACAUAAUUCCACCUGUAGAAGGAGGUAUGUGGACCAUCAGUACAGAGAAAAUGGCAAAUUCACAAAAGAGGCAGCGAAGGAUGUGGUGAAGGAGAAGAAACAACGGCAGAAUAAAAGCAGCACAGUUAACUCUGAUUUCAUACUUCCAAAAAUUGUCAACAGAAGACAGAUAUGAUGCUAUUUUCCCCCUUUAGAAUGUAUUACUCUUUGAUUAUACACCUUUAUAUGGACUUAUAAUAGGUGUACUACAUAAGAAAGCACAUUUUAUGGUUCAUAUUGUUUGUUUGAAGCCUACAAUAAUAAAAAAUCUUAUGUAUUCUUCAUCUAAUUCUUAUAUAUCUUAUCAUGACCCCUGUUUUAAUUUUCAUCGCUUUAUUUAAAUAUAACUUUGAAACAUGAACUGAUGUUCACCGUUGAGCACUCUCCCUAAAUAAACCAAAUCAUAAACAGCACACAUUUUAUAAACCUCAGGACGUUAUUUUAUUAUUUCAGUUUUCAUCGUUUCGAGUUUGUACAUAUGUAUUUCUAUUAUUACGAGUCAGGAUUAUGAGCAGAGUUGUUUGUGCUAGAACUUUAUGGCCUGAUUAUAUGAACCUGAGAAGGCAUGAUGAUUAUUAUUUCCUCUUCAUCGUUAUUAUCGUCAUAUAUUUAACCUUAAUUAAUUUUCCAUGUACUUAACCAAACAUGUUACUUUUGUGAGUAUUAUCCUUGCAUAUGAAAUCAAAAAUAUUAUUUUUUGCUUCGCUUAUAAAAUUGUUGCCCUUUAUUGCCUUUUGUAUCAUAAUUGAUACUACUAUUUGUGAU